rnacentral:rRNA from 1 species
UGGGGAAUUUUGGACAAUGGGGGAAACCCUGAUCCAGCCAUCCCGCGUGUGCGAUGAAGGCCUUCGGGUUGUAAAGCACUUUUGGCAGGAAAGAAACGUCAUGGGUUAAUACCCCGUGAAACUGACGGUACCUGCAGAAUAAGCACCGGCUAACUACGUGCCAGCAGCCGCGGUAAUACGUAGGGUGCAAGCGUUAAUCGGAAUUACUGGGCGUAAAGCGUGCGCAGGCGGUUCGGAAAGAAAGAUGUGAAAUCCCAGAGCUCAACUUUGGAACUGCAUUUUUAACUACCGGGCUAGAGUGUGUCAGAGGGAGGUGGAAUUCCGCGUGUAGCAGUGAAAUGCGUAGAUAUGCGGAGGAACACCGAUGGCGAAGGUAGCCUCCUGGGAUAACACUGACGCUCAUGCACGAAAGCGUGGGGAGAAAACAGG